rnacentral:rRNA from 1 species
AUGGCGGUCGUCCUGCUCUUCCUAAGCCUUAGCAUCCUCCUUGUGUCGGCAGCGGCAACGGGGCAGCUCUGCGGCAGCCGCGGCAACUACACGGCCAACAGCACCUACCAGUCCAACCUCGCCGCCGUCGCCGCCACCCUCCCCAACAAGGCGUCUUCCUCCUCGCAACUGUUUGCCACCGCGACCGCCGGCCAAGCCUCCGACGUGGUGUACGCGCUCGCGCUCUGCCGUGGCGACACGGUGAACGCCGCGGCCUGCAGGGACUGCGUCGCCACCUCGUUCCGGGAAGCGCAGCGGGCGUGCCCGUUCCAGCAGGGCGCCACCGUCUACUACGACGACGGCGAGCAGCAGCAGCAGCAGCAGACGUGCGUCCUCGGCUUCUCCAGCGACGACCUCCUCGUCCCCAGCAUGACCGAGAACGACACGCUGUUCCAGUCAUUCCAAAAUGACAGCUUCUUCGGCGACCCUGGCACCGUCACUCCGGAUGUCCACGACCUGCUCACGCGGACGGCCCAGGACGUGGCCGCCGCAGAGAGGCGGUACGCCACCGCGGUCAUGGACUCCGUUAGCACUGUUACCCGGACGCUCUACUCUCUGGCUCAGUGCACGCCGGAUCUGCCCACUGGGGAUUGCCUGGCGUGCCUCCAGCGGAUCAUCGCCAUGGUCAACACCACCACGGCGGUGCGCCUGGGUGGACAGAUCCUCGUGCUGCGCUGCAACAUCAGGUUCGACGUGAAUCUGUUCUACCAGGGCCAACCCAUGCGGCGGGUCACUCCAUCAUCCAUCGCUCCGGUGCCGACCACCACCACCAUUACUACAGGAAAGAGUAUGUGA